rnacentral:rRNA from 1 species
CCCUUAGAUGUUCUGGGCCGCACGCGCGCUACACUGAUGCAUUCAACGAGUUUCUUCCUGGUCCGAGAGGAAUGGGUAACCUUUUGAAAGUGCAUCGUGAUAGGGAUAGACUAUUGCAAUUAUUGGUCUUCAACGAGGAAUUCCUAGUAGACGUAGUUCAUCAGACUGCAUCGAUUACGUCCCUGCCCUUUGUACACACCGCCCGUAGCUCCUACCGAUUGAAUGCUCAGGUGAGCCAUUCGGACUUUCAUCAUGCUGGUUUCCAGUUUUGAUGAAGGAAAGUCUUGCGAACCUUAUCAUUUAGAGGAAGGAGAAGUCGUAACA